UACUUUCAUUGGCCAAAAAGUUUUUCAUUUAUAUUUCAUUUAUAACACCAAUGAUUUACCGAUUACAAACUUCACACAACAAGAAAACCAAAACAUGUUUAGGAAGGAAGAGAGCCGGUUGCUAAAAACAACACCUUCCAGCUUAAUCUAUAAUAAGAUUUAUGUAACUUUGCUGACGGUUUCCAAUCAGGGAUAAAUUUAUUCUCUAAUAAUAUUUUUCUUUAUCCACAUUUUGGAAUACGCUUUUUCUAAAUGUUGUUCUAGCCGCAUUGACGGCGUUCAUAACACACGUAACGAAACACGCUUUUCUCUUGAAACUUUUUCGUGUCGUUGUUCGUGGUAGUCGUACAGAAAAGGCAUACUACCGCCACCAUCAAAUCGGUGGUACAUAUAUGAAACAAGCACUAUCUGUCAAGUUGUCCCCGGGCUGACAUACACAAAGGAUAUCUUCAUCUGAAACUUGUAGUACACUGUAGUACACUGUCGCUGAUUUCAAACUGUGCAGCUCGAGUUGGUCUGAAUUGUGCAAUAGAUGGAUUAGAUUGUCGUCACUCUCCUUACAUAAACUCUGUAAACUACGUAAGCAAAGAAAGCAGCAAACAUAAACUCUGUAAAUUACGAAGGCAAAGAAUCCUAGAAAACAAAACAGCGCACUAUCAAUAACCACAUUCCCCUGAACUAUCGUUUUCAUUGGCAAAAAAGUUUAAAAUUGCGACUUGCAAUCUAAAACUUUUUAUCAUAGGCCCUUUCAUGAAUAUCAUGCACGGGGAAUUCUAGUUCACCGCUUUGUACUUAUUUUUGGGUACCUCAAGUAAAACUAAAUAUUAGUUACAAAUAAUACAUUUAUUUCAGCCGAGAAUGCGAAAAAAAUCAACAACAAACAUCUAGAGCUGGAUCUGAUGUGGUGGAUCGUACCAAGCUUGGAGAUUCCUACUCUCAGUACUUAUCAGCUACGGAACAAGUUUUCGGCGGAGUUUUAUUCCUCACGAUCUAGCCUGUUUCGGAGCAUUUUCAAUUAACAUGAUCCUAAAAUUGAAUACUGAAGGAUGGUUCGCUAUUGUCGAUGUGCAACUCAUCCCAUUCAUUAGACAAAACUUGGACGUCACCAGCGAAUCAUGAACAAGAUCGUUACACCUGGAAGACAAAAUACCAACGAAAAAUUGUUGGGAUAAGAAAUUUCAUCAAGAGGUGUCCAGAAAUUCAUUCGAUUAAAUACAUUAAACCAACGUUUCUAUGUAAAUAUGUAGGACAUGGACUUUGAGUUUAUGAGGACGAUAGACGGAUUUCCAGACAAUGCUCGGUGAAAGCGUGAUUGACUCACAGAUGGCAAUUAUGUAAAAAUGAUGAUGGGAAAUUUGACAUCCGUCAAACUACGAUGAUUUUUUUGGUAUUUACGAAACCUUCUGUAAUAUCUUCAACACCGAAUCCAAAACGGCAAGAAAAACGUUAGAUAAGAAAAAAUGUAUUGUUCACGCGUGCCUGAGCUAUUUUGGUGCAUCCGGAAAUUUUACCACAUUUUUCAAAAUUCCCUAUCCAGUGUUUCAUAAAUGAAAGCAGCUCUUGCACUUCUCCGGUAAGCGCCGAAAUUAUAUGUUCAGCUCAUUUUACUUCGGCGGAUAUUAUUGCAAGUAAGAAAAGCUGCGAAAACCGCAUAUCCCUCCUUUAUUGUACGGAUGGAUUCUCCGACGUAAUGCAGGACGUUCAUGGUCGCAAUAUGACGAAAAUAACAUAACCUUUUAUAAUCCAGAGUGGGUUUUGCAAUACUUCAAAACUGCAUGAACUAUAAUUUUACCAAAUUGCGCAAUAAAGUAAAAGCCUGACAGACAGACGUUUUAGUUUUGCUUUGAUUCUUCAAUUGCAAACUUCGCCAUCUUAUAGAGCUAUGAAUAUUGUGUAAAUCGGAAAACUAUGUCCUGCCAAUACUAUGAACAGUUUUGAAAAUCAUGCCAAAACGAGGUUUUUGUAAAAACGUGUGGUAACUUGAUCCCCCGCUCACAAGGGCUAAAGAAGCAAAGCCCACUAUAGAUACGAAAAUUCAGCUAACCACCUAUCCUGACAAAUUAUAUAAUAAGACUACCAUCUUAGAUGCACGACAAACGUUAACCACAGAUGAAAGUAUUUGCGGGAAAAACAUUUUAGAUCAAUCAAUAGUGCCAGGUACGUUUUGAAAAUGUUUUUCUAUUUCUAUACAUUUCGGAAGUGUUUGAGAGAACUAAUGAUAGGGAUCAAGAAUACCCAUUGUUACAGGGAUCAAAGAUUCCUGUUGUAUGAGGUGAACAAAAUUUAAUUUUUUUGCAUGUGUAGUGAAACUUUUUAUUCGAAAAACGUGUUUUUCUAGGCAACAGCCCUUAGAAAGUAAUCGUACUUGAAAAUAUCCAUAAAUAAUUAGUUCGACGAUCUCAUACAACCGUUCAAAAAAUUUGUGGAAAGAUCUUCGAGAAAUCCAUCUCAACAUAUUUUCUAUAAUAUUAUACAACUUUAGGGGAGACUGAGGAGACUUGAUCCCCUUUUUUAUUUUUCAAUCCUACUCCGUGGAAUGAUAAAAAAACUAUGUAUUUUUUGUAGUUUUAUAUUGUUUCUAGGGUUGACUGAUAAUCAUAAAAAAAAUACAUGGAAAUAUUAUACUGGACAUGAGCUAUGAGCAUUUUUGGAAAACAAUAAAAAAAUGUAAAAUUCUUUGAUUAGUGGAGACUCGAUCCCUAAUUUGGGGACACUUGAUUAUUUUUUGAAAACGUGUUUAAAAGAGCAUGUAGGGUAAUAAGCCUAUUUUUACCCUGUUUCUAUUAUCAUCCUACCAAUCUGAAGCCUUUGGUUAGAACAGCGUCUGCCAUCUUUGCUCAACGCAUUUACUCAAAUGGUGUUGCGAUAAUUGGGGUACUCGAUUAGAGUUUUUGCUGUGCUCAAACAGAAGAUUUUCACCAUUCUCAAGACAAUUUUGUUAUUAUAUUGGCUCUUAAUAAGAGGCGAAUAACCUUAAAGUUAAAAAAAUCCAUAAUCGAAAUAAAAAAAUGGCUCCUAAUAACAAGGCAAAGAAGCUGAAAUAAUAAAAUUAAUAAAGAAAUAAUGUGGCACCCUCCCUAAUAGGGCAAAAAUAGAUACCUAACCCCAUUCAAUGUUAUAAAUAUAUUGUGGUAUUGAUUAAAUUGUUGUGAUUUACUAUUUUGUUACUACAUAUUAUCCAUCUCUCACCUGAUUUUUAUUACGAAUUCUCCAAAUCUCUGUGCAAUGAUUUGAAAGCUGUCGUUAUUAUGGUUGAGGAACGUCAAAUGUGGGAUGCAUGGUUGCUACGUAUGCUGUAGUAAACAUGUACAGCUAAGUUUUGUAUGAUGAAGCGUUCAUUUUUGACAGUUUUUUGUUAUUUUAUGGCAACAUUGACUUUAAUUGUUCUGGUGUGAAUUUGGUUAUAAUCAGUAGUGUGUAUGAAGCAUGGCGAAGGGGAUCAAAUCUCCACGAAUUUGAAGGGAUCAAGUGAACCCAUAGCAUCUAUUUCAGCAAACUUUAGUACAUAUAGUUGAACAAAAAAAUCAGCUCAAUCAUAGCGUAUUCAUAUAAUUGACAUUCUCUUGUAUUUCUGUAUGCAAAAGUAUAGUAUGCAGUGGGAGACUUUAUAAAUUGUAUAAAAGUUUGAAAAUUUGGAAAAUAAAUCUUCUUCAGUUCUUCUGAGAUUUAUUUCUUUAAAUCGAUAAAAAUUCGGUCACACAUGUCCAAUUUAUUUUUUUUGUGUUAAAGAAACUUUUGUUUAGAUAAAACUACGCAACUUUCUAGUAUAUUCUAUUAAUGUAUUCAGCUUUUUGUUAGUGGCUGCGUUCCCAAAUGCGCACUCCACUUUGACAAGUCGUCCGUCCAAUGUCAAAUUUGACAAAUCACCCGUCAUGUCAAUUUUGACACACUCUUCCAUCCUAGGGGCAGAUCACUCUAAGAAUGUAUAACAAAUUUGCAUCAAUUUAGAAAAAAUGCAUUUAAUUUCCAUUUUUGCAUCAGCUUGGCACUCCAUCGCAGAAAAGUUUGUUUAACAAACGUCCUACGCUGAUCCACUUUGUUCGACGUUUUGUUAAAUGUAGGGCUAGUUUUUCUGCAGGGUUUUGACGUCUUACACGCAACGCAAACCACAUAGCAGGCAACGCAAAAACAUUGCACGCAACGCAAAAUACAUUACGAAUUUCUAUUUUGAUGGAAAUAAAUGCAUUUAAUUUCGCUGAUUUUUAAAAAUGCAUCACAAGUGAUCUGCCUCUAGCUUCCAUCAGUCUCAAUUUUCACAACACGGUAGGCGUUGAUUUUUGUUUUCGUCUCAAACGUUAAAAAUCAAAAUAAAAUUUCGGUUGUUUUUCCGUUAAAAAUACGAUUACGGUUCAGGUCGCCACAAUCGACUGGAUCUAGGACUGGAUUCAUCCAAUUGAACCGCCUUUCAACAGUAACAUUCAAUUCAAAAAGAAUAUUCAGAACAACUACUUUCCAAAACUAUGUUUGCGAAAUCGGCUUACAAAAAUUGGAGAACUAGCAGCGCGUAAUACGGUGAUCAAUCGGUCUAAUCAUGAAAUUGGCAGAUUGUGGAAAACAGCCCCCUGGCAACCCUAUACCAUCAUAUGGAGUAUGACAGCCACCUACAUAUAUGGGGCGUUAUAGCUAUAAAGCCCCAAACAAAGAAUUAUGUUUGGCACUAUGCUCGAUAUUCAAGCAUUCCACACGACGUUUUGCAUCUUGUGGGAUGAUUUAAUAUCAUAUCAUUCAGAAAAUCGACAUUUUGUAACUAAAUACAGCUUCUAAUCAUUCGGUUUGCGGUUCAAUGUUUUGCCUUUCAUGGCAGUGAUGCUGGCUGUACAGAGACGUCGUCCUUGACAGGGGGCUGGUGGAAAACCAAUCAUCAGCGAUGUUUGAUUUAGACGAAACCAAUGAGCCGGCUGAGUUGCCAUCGAUUUCGUUUAUUAACGUUGCAGCUGCCAUCAGCCAUUAUGCCAAGAGGUUAUUUUUAUCGCAUUUUUCGUUAUGUUAGAUGGUAAACUUUACUACAAAUGUUAUUCAAAAAACGCGCAUAUUUUAACAAACUUUGCUAAGAUAUUACAUUGUCAGAAGAUUGCAUGCCUUUCCGAAUUUACACCGAGUUUCAUUGCUUUAUUACUGGUCAUAUCGUACGUGAUGAAUUCAGGUAAGAGCAGAGGCUCGAAUCCCUAAAUUCUGGUUCUAAUUAGUAUUCGUAUUAGUAGUUUUUGAUAAAUGCCGAUUGAAGCAUCGAUCGCUGGUCAUUCUGGAGAAAAUAAAAUAAUGAGAAAAGAUCUUUAAAAAUUUCAAAAUUUCAUUCUUGUAGUUCAGGUCAGGUCAAAAUGAGCUUACGUUUGAUGAUAUUGAGAGCCGCUGUAAUGGAACUAUGCCGAUUUUCCAGGUUUAUUGUCCGAGCCAGCAGCUCCUGCUCGUCACAUUUUUAGACCAAAAGCACAUCGUAUACUUUCGCAAUCAGUGCUCUGAUCGGUUCGGAGAUUUCCUUCAGCGAAGAUAUCAACGAAUGGAGAAAUUCGUUUUCUAUAGCCAACACCCAGAAUACUGUUGACCAAAUCGAACGAACAGGUUAGCUCGGUCUCGGUAUUACAUUCAACCAUGCCCUUGAAGCACAGAAGCACAAUCCAUUUAGGUUCAUGAGUAGUUGAGAAAGAAUUUUUGGACCGUUCCUUCUCUGUCGGUUCUUGUUUACAGUUGUCAAAAGAUAGAAUUGACUCAUAAUUGAGAUGUUCUUUCUUAGAAACUCCAUAAAAAUAGGUAGUAAUCCUUUCCUUCAACUUAGCACUUUCUCGACAGAUAAUCAGCAGCAAAUACCUCGACGGAACAGAAUAAUCUUAAAAACGCAUUUGAAUACGGGACGAACCGUCGUCUGUCAGUCACAACGGUGUCCUUUUCCGCCUUGGGCAGUAUGGUUUCACCAAUAACAAUAACCAACGACUUCUCCAUUGAAACUAUACCCGUGCUCUUCAACUGGGUUUGUUAAGAUCACAAAUUUUGACGUUUAACUUUUCAGACGAGAACAAAAAUCAACGCCUACCGUGUUGUGAAAAUUGAGACUAACGGAACGGGUUGUCGAAAUUGACACGACAGUUGAUUUGUCAAAAUUUACAUUGGACGGACCACUUGUCAAAGUGGAGUGCGCAUUUGAGAACGCAGCCACUAACAAAAAGCUGAAUUCUGAUUCGCCUUUGAGUUACAAUGAUGGGAUCAAGUCUCCCCGGGGAUCAAGUCUCCUCAGUCUCCCCUACUUUUUUGUUUUUUAAACAUCAUAAACGACCAAAUACUUCAUUUUCUUUUUAUAUUGUGAUAACUUUAUGCGUAUAGAUUAGGAGAUAUGGCCAGGGAAUCAAAUGUCCCCAAGAAUCAAGUGUCCUCACUCUCCCCUAAUGACAUCGGUCAACCAGCCCUACUGCGUUGACGUUUGCAGCUGCAUUAUCGUAGAAUUUGUUGAAAACGAGAAGUUCACCUACUGGAUUAUUGUGACCUGUGAUUUCUUAGGUCACAAUAUCGUCGCUUUGAUCACUGAGCCCAGCUUGUAUAUAUUUGUAAAUAUUGUUAUUUUUUUUGUCGUAUAAAUAAAUAACAGUGUACGGUCUAUCUCGUGUAUUUGACGACGCCUGUUCUUUGUUUAUACUUUGAAAUUAUUGUUCGUAAAUGUCUAAGUAGAAUUUAAACGUCAAACCAUUACUACUCCGUGCUUGCAUGUUUGAGUCGCGUUUAAGUUCUGCUUAAUAGCCCAGGUUGGUGUCAUGUGUAGGUUUCGUUUUUUGUUCAGAGAUUUAUUUAUAUAUUUAUGUGCUUAUUUAUUUAUUUAUUUAUUUAUAUUUGUUAUUUAUUUUGCUUGUUUAUCCCUCUCCUAGGUUGACGGGUUUGACGGUAUUGCAAACAUCUUCAAGCAUAUUUGAGCAGACACCUGCUUUAGGAUGGUUAUUGCAUUGCGCCUCGAUAGUGGUGCAUCGAGGAGACCGAGAGGGCUUAUGGGCCUUUUUUUAUGUUUUGUGUUUUUUCAUACUCUGCACCAACCCAAACUAACAGUCAACUAAGAGCCUGUGCACACUGGCGUGGCCGAUUGGCGGGUCGCCGAGGAUUGACUUUUUCUGUGGGCUGUGUUUGCAGACAUUGUUCAACAGCUUAACGGCAGUCUUUGUGAGCACGGCUCGCAGUGGAAUUCAUUGUGUGUCGAUUUAUCGGUCGACUUCGGCAACGUGCACAGGCGCAUUUAAAAAAAUAACAGUAGAACCCUAUUAGUUGUAUUGUGUUGUAAUAAUUGUAGUUUUUGGUACUAGUGUACAAUUGUGUGCUAUCUGUGUAUGUGGGCGUCUGAGUAUUUGUGAUAUGUGGACCAGGGAAUGGAUGCAGAACUGGCUUAUAUGAUGGAACAGUGGGUGAUCCUUCUUGGGAUUCGUUGGUCACUUUUUACUGGUGUUCAAUUCGUGCAUUCGAUUCGAUUCAUUCGGAUUGAAUAAAUGAAGGUACGAUUGAUUUACCGAUGCACGUCAAUCAUCCAUUCCCGUCCAGCAUAGCACAUGAGAAACUUCUAACGGAGUUAAUUGUCGUU